rnacentral:rRNA from 1 species
CCUACGGGUGGCAGCAGUGAGGAAUAUUGGUCAAUGGACGAGAGUCUGAACCAGCCAAGUAGCGUGAAGGAUGACUGCCCUAUGGGUUGUAAACUUCUUUUAUAUGGGAAUAAAAUGUUCCACGUGUGGGAUUUUGUAUGUACCAUAUGAAUAAGGAUCGGCUAACUCCGUGCCAGCAGCCGCGGUAAUACGGAGGAUCCGAGCUUUAUCCGGAUUUAUUGGGUUUAACGGGAGCGUAGGUGGAUUGUUAAGUCAGUUGUGAAAGUUUGCGGCUCACCCGUAAAAUUGCAGUUGAAACUGGCAGUCUUGAGGACAGUAGAGGUGGGCGGAAUUCGGGGUGUAGCGGUGAAAUGCUUAGAUAUCACGAAGAACUCCGAUUGCGAAGGCAGUUCACUGGACUGCAACUGACACUGAGGCUCGAAAGUGUGGGUAUCAAACAGGAUUAGAUACCCGGGUAGUC